AUACGUAGGUGGCAAGCGUUGUCCGGAAUUAUUGGGCGUAAAGCGCGCGCAGGUGGUUCCUUAAGUCUGAUGUGAAAGCCCCCGGCUCAACCGGGGAGGGUCAUUGGAAACUGGGGAACUUGAGUGCAGAAGAGGAUAGUGGAAUUCCAAGUGUAGCGGUGAAAUGCGUAGAGAUUUGGGGGAACACCAGUGGCGAAGGCGACUGUCUGGUCUGUAACUGACACAGAGGCGCGAAAGCGUGGGGAGCAAACAGGAUUAGAGACCCUGGUAGUCCACGCCGUAAACGAUGAGUGCUAAGUGUUGGGGGGUAUCCGCCCCUCAGUGCUGCAGCUAACGCAUUAAGCACUCCGCCUGGGGAGUACGGUCGCAAGACUGAAACUUAAAGGAAUUGACGGGG
rnacentral:rRNA from 1 species